GUGGGGAAAUUAACAAGAUGGCACCAGUCAGGCUCUCUCACCCCACGCUCUCAUGCCCUCUAGCCCCACGUUACUGUAAACAAUGACAUUGCACGGUUAUGUAACAGUUGAGAUCGCUUAUAGCUCUGCGCACAUGCAUCACGAGGUACUCACUUGGCAACGGGCUACUUUCCUUCCCUGCCAUCAUGAACAGAAACGUCCUGGUCAGAGACUGCUGCCCCAGCCUGGGUUUCAGAAUGGAGAUGCCAUGAAGCAGAGCAGCUGGCCACAUGGAGAGAGAAACAAGUCAGAUAGAAACUGUUGCUACGGACUCCCCUGUGGAGCCCAAGGCUGCCCUGCUGCUCACCCCUCAGAUGACUACUCUUCACCAUGUGCUGGCUGGUGGCUGCCAGUGUUCAUAGGGAGCUGAAGACUCAUGAGCUGGCACUAGCCAAACACAUCAAGCUCAAGUGGGUGGCCAGCUCGUGCUGCAGUGUGGCAGCUGGGGAGAUGGGAGUAAUGUUUGGACAAGAGGACCUUCACCCUUCAGUUCACACCGCAUUCUCUGUGAUCCUAUUUUAUUUAUUCAAAAUGGCAGCCCUACGUCUCCAGUUACCCCUUUAUCGGCUGGGUCUGGUGUGAGGAGAGUGAGGUACCAGGGGUGCCAAAUUGAAGAAAAUCCCAGGUGAGUCCAGUUGGAGUAUUUAGAUGAAACUUUAUUAAAGGCACAUGGGUAACAAAAAGGAAAGAAGAAAACCAAAAUAAGAUCUUGUAGAUACAAAGGCUCGGCUCAUUCAUCUUCACUUGGGAUCCCCUUGUAAUGGGCCAAUCUGAAUUUUGGAGUCUUGGAAAGCUAAAAUCUACACUU
ensembl:lncRNA